GGUAGUUAACUUAACCAAGAAGACUUCACAUCUCAGCUAGCGAGCAAGCUAACCAAUUCUACACACUCAAUGCAAUCAGCUGUAACCUGAGUAAUGCCUGGAUUAGAAAGGAAGUCAGCUCCGUGUAUGCAUUUAAAAUAUAAAGACUAAAGAUCACACAGAUCGAUAAAAAUUGCUGGUCUUAAAAAUUAGUUUGUUGAAGUAUGAAAAUAUCGCUUUAAAAUAUGUUUUAAGAAAGAGGUUUCUGAACAAUAUGCUACAGUUGUUUACGACCUCAGCCUUUGGUCUCUGUGGUCACAGGUGGAUACUUAAAUGUGACCUUAUCAUGCAUAUCUAACUGGAAAAUCUUACAAAAGUCACUUUUAUAAAUAUUGGAUAUGAGUUGAUAUACAUGUACAAAUCAUAAAAAUAAAUGCUAACAUGAAUUUCAAAAGAUUAGGUGAUUUCUUGAUUGUUGAUGAAUUGAAAAGCUCCACAAAAUAAUGAUACAAUUAUUAAAAUAUAUUAAUCUUAUAAUUUUGUAAGCAACAAUAAAAGUAUUAGGUUCAUUAGAUCAAAGGGUGUCUUUAUUUAAAUCCAUCAACUUUUAAUAAAAAACAAAACAAUGACAAUGGGUAAAUCUCUACUAUGGAUAGGAGUUGAAGUGAAAAUGUAAAAGAAAUUCUGAAAUUGGCUGUAAACACGGUUUACCCGUUCUCAAUGUGCCACUUGCUGGUACCAUGUGUAUUUAAACAGAAUAGCUUUAAGAAAAAGGGGCCCUAAAUUGGUUUCAAUGGAACAAUUCUCAGAUAAAAGGGCCAUUGACUAGUUUCAAUGGUAAGCCCUCAAAUAUAGUCCUAAACUGAUCAAAUUGAAACUGCCCUCAGAUUUAGAGUCCUAAACGCGUUUCAAUCAAACAGCCCUCAGAUAUAAGGCCCUUAACUGGUUAAAAUGAAACAGACCUCAGAUCAAGGGCCCUAAUCAGAUUUGAAUAUAAUAUUUGUAUUUGAAUCAGUAGUGUAUAUAUUACGUCUGAACAAAACAAAGUAAUAAUAUAUUGUAAAUGUUUUCUUCAAAGAUCGCAAAUGAAGGAAGAAAUUGGUGUUUUACCCAUCAUGCAGUAUAAAUGCAUCAGAAACACACUGAAGAAGUAACCUGCUACUUACUUAAUCAAUUUAUAUUUAAAACAAUUUUUCCCAUUAAAAUGCAAUUUAUGACCCUCUUCAAAAAAUAAUUACAUGUACUGCAAAAUUCAGAAAUUAUUGGGAUGUUUUUAUAAUUGCAAAAAAUGCAACAGGGUUAUAAUCGCAAUAAUUCAAUCACAAAUUUUUGACAGGAUUUUCUCAAUAUCUCAAAAAUUAAAAUUGCAUUUUAACAAAAUCGCAAUAAUAAAUGCAUGCCAUUCUUUCUGAAUUUACUGUAACAGAAUAUAUUAUACAGAUAACAUAGGAAAUAUUUGAGUGUUACUCCAUCGGUAACGGAGGGAUGCAUGAAUAAAGUUAGUAAGCCAAUUGUAUAAGUAAGAUGAUUGUUUACAUGGCUAAACUAUUUAGUUGAAUCAUUAUAUUAGUUCUCUGAUAACAAUUAUAUUGUGCUUUUUAUUUAUAAAUAUAUAUACCAAUAUGACAGGGUAAAUUAAAUUUUAAAAUAACCUGAUAAUUUCUUAUAUGAAUACUUGAAUAUGCAUGAGCAUAUUGGUUAAGAACAUGAAUAUUCAUGAGUUAAUAAUAAAUAAUUAAAUCUUUGGCAAAUUAAAAUAAUAUGUAUGAGAUUAAAAAAAAAACAAAGAUCCAUGAAGGAAUGAGAUAAAUACAUAUUGAGAUACAUUGGCAGUUAUUAUUUUUUUAAAAGCACAGAAUUACCAUUUAUGA
rnacentral:lncRNA from 1 species